GUUCUGGCUAUGAUUGGUUAUGGACAUUCAACACCAGUAACAAUCGGUGGCAAAGCGUUUUGUAUGGCAUAUGCAAUGACUGGCAACCCUGCAUUGCAAAAGAUUGCACUCACAGCUCAGCCCGUAGAAACAAGUAAAAAUCCAGUUUUCGCGGAUAUCCUACCGUACGGUCUGUAAAAGCGGCGGUGAGUGGUCAUUUACAUUGCGCUCUCAUGAGAUAGGUCGUAUCAGCUGAUCGGACCACGGUUUUGCGUCGGUGACUGUUUGAAGCAUUACUUGGGGACGGCAGUCAGUUGCAUACUUUUACGCUAUGGAAUGAACGUAUUGUGAUUGCAACAGAAAACAUUAUAAUUAUACAUAGUAUACGUUGUCUGCGUGCACUAUCAUUCAAGAUCGUAGCUUAUCACAUUCGAAGAUAAAAACUUGCCGUUUGUAACCUGCUGGACAGUGCCUUAAUAACCUUACAUAAUUUAUAUUAAGUAUGAGUCAAUUAUCGAAACACGUUCUCUGCAUGCACAACAUUUGUAUAUGCUCUUAGAGAUUAUGCGAUUGGUUCUACUUCAAUUGAAAGUUGGGGAGGAUAAAUCGUCGAACAUACAGAAUGCUGUUGACAAAAUUUCUCAAGCUGUACAUGAAUAUAAACCUCGCUUGGUGACUUUGCCUGAAUGUUUUAAUUGUCCUUAUGGUACCAAAUACUUCAGGAAAUACUCUGAAACAAUACCAGAUGGUUACACUUCACAGCAGCUUUCUGCCACCGCAAAGGCUCAUGGUAUUUAUAUUAUUGGAGGAACGAUACCAGAACUAGGCGAAAAUGAUCGCAUUUAUAAUACUUGCACUAUUUGGGACCCGACUGGAAAAUUGAUUGCGAAAUAUCGUAAAAUGCAUCUUUUCGAUAUUGAUAUUGAAGGAGGAAUUAAAUUCAAAGAAUCAGAAACCUUAACUGCGGGUACCAAUUUUACUGUGAUAGAUGUAGACGGCCAUAAAAUUGGUGUUGGUAUCUGCUAUGAUAUACGUUUUGAAGAGCUGGCUCGAGUAUAUCGCAACGAAGGUUGUGAGAUGAUAAUCUACCCCGGUGCAUUUAAUAUGACUACAGGUCCCUUACAUUGGGAGCUUUUGCAACGUUCGCGAGCCAACGACAAUCAAUUGUAUGUUGUAACGACAUCGCCUGCUCGUGAUGAAAAUGCUGAAUAUGUGGCUUGGGGUCACUCAACUGUAGUUAAUCCAUGGGGGCAAAUUUUAAAACAAGCUGCUCAUAGCGAAGAUUUAAUUUCAGUUGAUAUUGAUUUUUCAGUCGUAGAACAAGUUCGUGCACAAAUUCCAACUUUCAAUCAACGCCGCUUGGAUAUGUAUAUAACAAAACGUUUAAAAUAAAAUUUUGUCUGGAUGUGGUUUGGUUACUGAGUGAUAUAUUUGGAUUUGUAAAUUUUCGAACCAAGCAGAUAAAAUAUAAUUUUCCAAUUGUGAAGUUACAAUUGUAAUAAAAUGAGAUAAAACUAUACUGGCUGAGCUAUACAACCUUAUAUCUUCUACAUAUGUAUAUAAAGAAAAAUACGUGUCCCAUUUUCUCCGGGAUAAACUUCUAAACUACUGAACCGAUUUUAAUAAAAUAAUUCAACUUUUAAAAGUAAAA